UUAUAGUAUAUUUUAAAAUUGUUAAUUAAAUUUGAUUUUUAUUUUGUUUAGUAUUAACUAAUUACAAUACAAUGCAGUACAAUUUCUUUGUAUUUUAAUUAUCCAUUGUUUAAUAGUUAUGCUAUUGUAAACUAAAACAGUAAUUUAAUGAUAGUUAACAAAUAUAUUUGUAUCGUAUUAUAUAGUUAUCAAAUCAUACUUUUAAAUAAUUUUCAUUGUAUACA